AUCGAUUUAGGAGAAACCAGCAGUUAAAGAGGACAAGACACACUCUAACACACAGUCACAUCCACACACAUGACAAAAACAGAAAGAGCACUAGUGAGGAAACAGAGAUGAGCCAGAGGGAAAAACACAGGCUGAGUCACCAACCAUCAGACAGAUAUAUUAGGCUCACACCCCUGAGAAGACCGAGAGAAAUAUACAGCAUAAAAAAGAACACGGUUCACAGCCGCCUCAAGAAAACCUCAGAAGACUGUCUCCCAAAAAAUUCUUCAGGCAGACACAGAGAGAGGCGGAACUUUUCUGCUGACGAGUUGCUGUACCUCAACAUGGGUGUGAAGAGGUUUGGUCACUCCUGGAACUCCAUCCUCUGGACGUAUCCCUUCCAGCCUGGACGCACCAAUGUAGACCUGGC
rnacentral:lncRNA from 1 species